UCACAGUCACAGAUUCUUUAAUUUAUUACCCGCCACUCGAACGACUUUCCUGGAUUCUUCAUUCCAAUUCCUCAUGCUCAUUCAUCACAUAUCACUUUUGGACUCCCUCGCCCAGGAUGCUUACACUUAAGCACGGGACAGACCUGGACUCCCUCGCCCAGGAUGCUUACACUUAAGCACGGGACAGACCCAGGUAUUUUGGGCCUCACUCCGUCAGUCAGACGUUAAAAAACUAACUGAAUGAGCUGAUUUGGCUUUUUUUUUAUAUUUUUUGGACCUGCCACGUGGAAAUUACAAGUGAAAUUGGAAAAAGGAGGCAUGAGAGAUUCAAACUCAAUACCUGAAACUCUUCUGAGAAAGUCUGACUGACGGAGGGGUAGACGGUGCACUGCUUGAAAACAUGAGGAGUAGAAACGUCGACAAAAAUAGAGUAGGGGCAGAAUUUGCACAAACUUGAAACAUUAGGGGCCAAAAAUGUUUUUUAGCCCUUUAAUAAAUAUUUUUUAGUGUGUCAUUUUUCUUUAGUUUCUUUAGCUAAGGUUUUUUCGGUUUUCUUUAGCUAAGGUUUGAUUUAUGCAUGAGUAAUCAUAUAUACACACCUCAUUUUCUCUUUUAUUUUAUUUUCAUAUGUUUUUCUUCCUAUCUUUCUCUGCAUUUCCUGUCACAUCACAAAUUAUAUCACUCAUUUCUCUCUAAUUUUUACCUUAUCGCAUUAGGUGGAGGUGGAACUGAUUUGUGUACUAAAUAUUAUUGGUUUAUUCAGAUUGUCGAUUGUAUUAUAUUGUAUUGUAUGAUGUUUUCAGGAGAAUGAUUGAAAUGAACGACUAUUAUAUAAUUCCAAUUUCAUGAGUUUAAAUUUCUUUCUUUCUCUUAUUGUAAGGACCAAAAUUAAAUAGCAUAUCAUUUAAUAAUUUGACUUACCGGUACUUUUCGUCUCUCAUGUUAGAUCUUUGUGCAAUUUGAAUUCCCUUUAUUUAGAACGAGUGAUUUUAGUCCACAUGCUUUCAAUUUGUGUCAAUUGGGUCCUACCAUCAGUCUACCGUUGAAUUGAAACAAAAUUUACAUAUAUGGCGCUCAUUAAUGACGUUGCUAUGACUCAUUUAACCAUUAAGAUGCCACUUGGACUCCACGUAAUAAACAAUACUGUUUUUGUUCCUAUUUAACUGUCCACUUUGAGUGGAGACACACAUAUUAAGGGUGUGAUUAAUUUUGUUGAUUUUUAGAAAAAGUGAUGAUUAUUUUUCUAUUUUACUCUUUAAAGUAUGUGUUAUCUCUCCUCAUUUAUUGUACUGACAAUGACAUUUGUUGUAAAAACAUCAUUUAAUGUUCUCUUAAAAUGCUAAGUGGACAGUAAAAUAUGAACAAAAAAAUUUCUUUAAGGUGGACAGUUAAAUAGAAACGGUGGAAGUAUUAAUUAAAAUUCUGAAAAUAUAAAAAAAAAAACAUAUUUAUUUAAUUUUAAUUUAAUCAUUUCAUUAAUCUCUUAUCACUCUCCAUCUCCAAUGAAUCUGGAAAUAAGUUUCAGAACAACAAAACAAAAAGCUAUAGAAAUUGAAACAAAAAUCAACUUUUCCCCUUCCUUCACCCAAAUCCAAAAAGAAAAAAAGUUCCAGAAAGAAAAAAAUAAUCAGGCGUCAACCACACCCAAGAGGUCUAUGUCGAAACUGAUACUGGAAAAUUUUUCACCUGCACAGUUUGCAUUGACACAGUGGUGGAAAAGGAGUACUUUUACCAUGGAGGCAUACUUCCUUAUGUCACCAGGAGCAUCUAUUGGAAGUGAGAUUUGUGUACCCGUUUAACAGAGGGACAAUUGACAGAGACAUAGGACACCUUUUUCUUUGCAAGAUUUCGUUUGUUACUGAUAAUAUUGCAAAAAGUUUUUCCAAGUUGACAGAAAGUUAUAUCGAUUCAAGAUUUACUUUGCAGUUUCGAACAUGAAUAUUGGUUGUAUAGUCAUGGCAAGUUUAUGUUAGUAUUAGCUUUGUCAUAUUGGAUGCCAAGAGCUUUGU